GAUGAACGCUGGCGGCGUGCCUAAUACAUGCAAGUCGAGCGAUCAGACGAGGAGCUUGCUCCUCUGACGUUAGCGGCGGACGGGUGAGUAACACGUGGAUAACCUACCUAUAAGACUGGGAUAACUUCGGGAAACCGGAGCUAAUACCGGAUAAUAUAUUGAACCGCAUGGUUCAAUAGUGAAAGACGGUUUUGCUAUCACUUAUAGAUGGAUCCGCGCCGCAUUAGCUAGUUGGUAAGGUAACGGCUUACCAAGGCAACGAUGCGUAGCCGACCUGAGAGGGUGAUCGGCCACACUGGAACUGAGACACGGUCCAGACUCCUACGGGAGGCAGCAGUAGGGAAUCUUCCGCAAUGGGCGAAAGCUUGACGGAGCAACGCCGCGUGAGUGAUGAAGGUCUUCGGAUCGUAAAACUCUGUUAUUAGGGAAGAACAAAUGUGUAAGUAACUAUGCACGUCUUGACGGUACCUAAUCAGAAAGCCACGGCUAACUACGUG
rnacentral:rRNA from 1 species